GGACGAACGCUGGCGGCGUGCUUAACCCAUGCAAGUCGAACGGAAAGGCCCUGCUUUUGUGGGGUGCUCGGGUGGCGAACGGGUGAGUAACACGUGAGUAACCUGCCCUUGACUUUGGGAUAACUUCAGGAAACUGGGGCUAAUACCGGAUAGGAGCUCCUGCUGCAUGGUGGGGGUUGGAAAGUUUCGGCGGUUGGGGAUGGACUCGCGGCUUAUCAGCUUGUUGGUGGGGUAGUGGCUUACCAAGGCUUUGACGGGUAGCCGGCCUGAGAGGGUGACCGGCCACAUUGGGACUGAGAUACGGCCCAGACUCCUACGGGAGGCAGCAGUGGGAAUAUUGCACAAUGGGCGGAAGCCUGAUGCAGCAACGCCGCGUGCGGGAUGACGGCCUUCGGGUUGUAAACCGCUUUCGCCUGUGACGAAGCGUGAGUGACGGUAAUGGGUAAAGAAGCACCGGCUAACUACGUG
rnacentral:rRNA from 1 species